AAAAGUGUAGUUCAGCGGAAGAACGCUCGCCCCAGAGCUUGAUGUCACCGGUUCGACUCCGGUUACUUUUA
rnacentral:tRNA from 1 species